GGGCCCGCACAAGCGGUGGAGUAUGUGGUUUAAUUCGAUGCAACGCGAAGAACCUUACCAGGGCUUGACAUCCUGCGAAUCUCUGGGAAACCGGAGAGUGCCUUCGGGAACGCAGUGACAGGUGGUGCAUGGCUGUCGUCAGCUCGUGUCGUGAGAUGUUGGGUUAAGUCCCGCAACGAGCGCAACCCACGUCUUUAGUUGCCAGCAUUUAGUUGGGCACUCUAGAGAGACCGCCGGUGACAAACCGGAGGAAGUGUGGAUGACGUCAAGUCAUCAUGCCCCUUACGUCCUGGGCUACACACGUACUACAAUGCUACGGACAAAGGGCGGCCAACUUGCGAGAGUGAGCGAAUCCCAAAAAGUGCGUCGU
rnacentral:rRNA from 1 species